rnacentral:lncRNA from 1 species
AGUUUGAGAAUCAAGGGGAAGGACAAGCGAUUUCAUUUAGAUUUUUCCUCGUUUCAUAAUGCAUCCAAAUCACCACAUGUAUGGUAGAUUCCCUCCCAUUCCUAAAUUAAUCACACAAAUCUCCCUCAUUACAAGUUACCAUCCUCUUAAUAGCAACUACCAAACCUUCUACAUAACUGCUUAAGGACUUCAAAAGAAUUCAAAUGACUGAAACUUAAAGUACAGAGGAAAGGAAAUAAGCAAAAUAGAAAACGCAUCGUAACAAAUUACAGCUACUAAGUAAUCAAUACAACAAGGAAAUCCAUAAGAAAUAUAAGAAUUUAUCUCGAGACAAUCUGUAAAUCAUAUCAUCCCAAAACUACAAAAACAAGUAAAGAAAAAACACUUUAGCAUUUAAUCAAACGGGAAAAAAGAACUGCAUGCACGAAAAUGAAUACAAAUUGAAAGCUCAUAUGGAAGGGAGGUGACCAUACUCUGAUAUAGACGACUAGGGAGAACGCGUGAGUGAUCGCGUAAGAGUUUAAUGUUUUUGGGAGAAAAAAUUGCGCGCCAUGAUCGAGCUUGCCUUACCAGUCGGCCGGAAACCGCCAUCGGAGUGCGACUUUAAAGUCAGAGAUGUUGAAGACUUUGGUCUGUUUGGGAGAGGAGAAAAAGCGCGACUGGAAUAUUAAGAUUUCAAGUGGCUCAUUGCAAUUAACGCCCACACUUGUAAAAUAAAAUAAACGCUUGUGUCGUUUU